rnacentral:rRNA from 1 species
AUUGAACGCUGGCGGCGUGCUUUACACAUGCGAGUCGAACGGCAGCGCGCGCUGCUGGCUGUGGGCGAGCUGGCGAACGGAUGAGUGAUUCAUCCGAGCGUGCCCUGCCCUGCGGGAUAGCUCGCCUAUCGCCGGAUUAUGCCCGCAUCCCACCUGUCGGCGAAACCGGGGGAUCUUCGAGACCUCGAGCUAUUGGACCCUGCUAAGGCAUAUUACCUAGUUGGUGGGGUAAAGGUGCUACACGGGCGACUAUCUGUAGCUGGGCUGAGAAGACGACCUGCCACGGUGGAUACUGACACUCGGGCCUGACUCCUCCGGCCAGGCUCCUACGGGGAGUUUUGGACAAUGAAUCUACCGCCUGAGUCCGCAGUGCCGACGUGUGUGAUGACGGCCUUCUGAGUUGUGUUUCUCUGUUUGGCGGGCUCUGUUGUGACUGUGCAACUACCGCUGUUCUAUGAGUGAACCCCCUGACUAGUCUCCCGCUAACUACGUGGCAUCCUCCGCGGCAAUACCUAGGGUGCAACCUUUGAUCGGAAUUACUGCCCGUAUUGAUUGCGCAUGCGGUUUUGCAAGACCGAUGUGAAAUCCCCCGGCUCAACCUGGGAGCUGCAUUGGAGACUGCAUUGCUAGAGUGUGUCAGAGGAAAGUGGAAUUCCGCGUGUAGCAGUGAAAUGCGUAGAUAUGCGGAGGAACACCGAUGGCGAAGGCAACCCCCUGGGAUGACACUGACGCUCAUGCUCGAAAGCGUGGGGAGCAAACAGGAUUAGAUACCCUGGUAGUCCACGCCCUAAACGAUGACUGCUAAUUGUCGGAGAUUAAUUUCCCUGGUAAGGCGCCCAACACGCGAAAUACACCCCCUGGGGAGAGCAGUACCGCGAUGAUGACUCUCAGGAGUUGACAGGGACACCCACACGCGGUGGAUGAUGUGGAUUAAUUCUAUGCAACGCGAAAAAACUCACCUACGCUUGAGAUGUCCUGAGCCCUGACUAGAUAUGGGGGUGCUCCUUCGAGAACCAGAACACAGGUGCUGCAUGGCUGUCGUCAGCUCGUGUCGUGAGAUGUUGGGUUAAGUCCCGCAACGAGCGCAACCCUUAUCAUUAGUUGCUACCCUAGGGCACUCUACUGAAACUGCACUGGACGAAACGGACCAAGAGUGAGGAUGACAUCGAGUCCUCAUGGCCCGUAUCUGUAGAGCUUCACUCGUCAUACACUGGUCUGUACGGAAGGUUGCGAAGCCGCCACGUGAAGCCAAUCCCAACUAAUCGAUCGCAUUCCGGAUUGCAUUCUGCAACUCGACUGCACGAACUCGGAAUCGGUACUAAUCGCGUAUCCGAAUGCCACGCUGAAUACGAUUCCGGGGUCU